CCUACGGGUGGCAGCAGUGGGGAAUAUUGCACAAUGGGGGGAACCCUGAUGCAGCGACGCCGCGUGAGUGAAGAAGUAUUUCGGUAUGUAAAGCUCUAUCAGCAGGGAAGAAAAUGACGGUACCUGACUAAGAAGCCCCGGCUAACUACGUGCCAGCAGCCGCGGUAACACGUAGGGGGCAAGCGUUAUCCGGAUUUACUGGGUGUAAAGGGAGCGUAGACGGCAGAGCAAGUCUGAAGUGAAAGCCCGGGGCCCAACUGCGGGACUGCUGUGGAAACUGCCCGACUAGAGUGCAGGAGAGGUAAGCGGAAUGCCUGGUGUAGCGGUGAAAUGCGUAGAGAUUAGGAGGAACACCAGUGGCGAAGGCGGCUUACUGGACAGUAACUGACGUUGAGGCUCGAAAGCGUGGGGAGCAAACAGGAUUAGAUACCCUUGUAGUC
rnacentral:rRNA from 1 species